AUGGUACUUCCUCCGUCCGGAAAUACUUGUCAUCAAAAUGAAUAAAAGGAGAUGUAUCUAGACAUAUUUUAGUUCUAGAUACAUCAUUUUUUAUCUAUUUUGAUGACAAGUAUUUUCGGACGGAGGGAGUACACA
rnacentral:pre_miRNA from 1 species